rnacentral:rRNA from 1 species
UACGUAGGGUGCGAGCGUUAAUCGGAAUUACUGGGCGUAAAGCGUGCGCAGGCGGUCUGUUAAGACCGAUGUGAAAUCCCCGGGCUUAACCUGGGAACUGCAUUGGUGACUGGCAGGCUUUGAGUGUGGCAGAGGGAGGUAGAAUUCCACGUGUAGCAGUGAAAUGCGUAGAGAUGUGGAGGAAUACCGAUUGCGAAGGCAGCCUCCUGGGCCAACACUGACGCUCAUGCACGAAAGCGUGGGGAGCAAACAGG